AGCGAACGCUGGCGGCAGGCCUAACACAUGCAAGUCGAACGAACUCUUCGGAGUUAGUGGCGGACGGGUGAUUAACACGUGGGAACGUGCCUUUUGGUUCGGAAUAACUCAGGGAAACUUGUGCUAAUACCGAAUGUGCCCUUCGGGGGAAAGAUUUCUCGCUAUUAGAGCGGCCCGCGUCUGAUUAGCUAGUUGGUGAGGUAACGGCUCACCAAGGCGACGAUCAGUAGCUGUUCUGUGAGGAUGGCCAGCCACACUGGGACUGCGACACGGCCCAGACGCGGACGGGGGGCAGCAGGGGGGAAUCUGGCGCAAUGGGGGAAAGCGUGACGCAGCCAUGCCGGGUGAAUGAUGAAGGUCUUAGGAUUGUGAAAUUCUUUCACCUGGGACGAUAAUGACGGUACCCGGAGAAGAAGCCCCGGCUAACUACGUG
rnacentral:rRNA from 1 species